rnacentral:rRNA from 1 species
UACAGAGGUCCCAAGCGUUGUUCGGAUUCACUGGGCGUAAAGGGUGCGUAGGUGGUUAGGUAAGUCCGAUGUGAAAGCCCCCGGCUCAACUGGGGAGGGUCACUCGAUACUGAUCGACUUGAAGGCAGGAGAGGGAAGCGGAAUUCCCGGUGUAGUGGUGAAAUGCGUAGAUAUCGGGAGGAACACCAGUGGCGAAGGCGGCUCACUGGCCCGGUACUGACGCUGAGGUGCGAAAGCGUGGGGAGCGAACAGG